GAUAUUGACUUGGAGCGUUGAAGGACUGGGUAUUUCUAAAAAUAGAAUUAGCAUGCGUCUCCAAACAAUGCACUGUCCCGCUUCCGAAGCAUCCUUGGUCAAUAUAUCUUUUCUCGGGUCGAUAAAUCCAGGUAUCGACCUAAACCAAAGGCUAUAUAAUUGAAUAAUAUUAAAACAUUCAAUAUAACAAAUCUUUUCUUUAAAUACUACUUACACAGCAUUUUAUGUUUUUGUUCCAUUGAUUACUGAAAUUGGUUUUGUAUAUCCUGAUUAGGGACAGGAUGGGAGUUGUGAGUUUAUGCUACUACUACUACUACUGUAUAUGGUCAUGGUGUCAAUAUCUUAAGACGGUACAGCUGUAUAUUAAAUCAUGACUCCCUGCUACUGAUUUAUGGGGUAAAAGUCCAUAGCGUGAGUUUGCACAUAUCAGCAAGCUUAAAUUGACAAUGACAGUACAAAAAUAUUUCUGACAAUUUGACUUGAAUUCACAAUAAUGGUACAAGAAUAUUUCCCACCAUGUAAUUUGCGCUCUAACUAUGCUCCCUAUGGAAAUUCGUGUCAGUUGUGCAGAUCAAGUGAUAUCAAUGCAAUUUGAGUUUCUACAGGAAAGUGGAUAUUCUAAGUUUAUUCUUCCGAUUCACACAUAACAGGAUUAUAAUGAUCGGGUGUUAGUGGCUUGUUAGCCAAUAUGUUCGGAUGGAGUCAAUCGAAUUUCAGAACUGAAAAUCAGCUAUCCAAUUUGUGUUUGUUUCACUCUGUUUAUACUUACUGCAGACUGGUAGCUGUGCAAUUCUGUAGUAAUAUGUAUUAAGCACAUUUCGGAGAUCGUUAAGGUAGAUUUUGGUAGAACGGGAGUGAUUUGUAAAUUGAAAUUGUUAUAUGAUAUGGACAUAGAGGCAAGUAAUUACCUGCGUCCAGUAUCUGUCCUACUAAAUCUUAUUUCUAAUCUAAAUUCACUUCAGUACUACUACCAUGUUUGUAGAGUGUCAGAAACUUGGUUAAAUUUGAGGAAAUAAAGAGAAUAGAACAAUCAGCGGAGCAUAAUCCAGAGUCACCCUGGCCCAAAGAUCAUCUACCUCUGAUUUACCUGAAAAGGUUUGUGAUUCUGCUCAGUGUUAUAUAUAUUUUUUUGCUAAUAAGUCUUUGCUGUAACAACUGUCGGAUACCAUUAGCUCAGACACGUAGCCCAUCUCCCAGCAUUUGAUUUUUCAUUUUGUCAGAUCUUUUAUGAAAUGUCCAAUUUAUUUUCACAAUCCUUGAAUCAUUUUUCUAUAACCGCCAAGCUGUCCCCCAAACAUUAAGAUGAUUAUUUUUAAAACCGAAUAUAGAAGUUUUGGCUACAGUACUAAAUAAAAGCUAAUCCAAAGUUUAUUUUCUGAAACAUUAUUAUUGUUAAUUUUUUAAUAUAUUUUAUUUUGGUGGGGGCAAUGACUUGGUGAGCAUUAUAAAUGAUGUGUGAUUGUAAAGGCUGUGAAACAGAUUGAAUAUUUCAUUUUCAGAAUUGAAAAUCCAAAUUAAGUGAAAGCUACAAGAGACAUGGCAUUUACUGAUCACAGAUAAAAUGUUAUGUCUGUCCUUCUCAUGAAAUAGUAACAGAAGUUAAAAAAAAAGUUAUGUGUUCAGACGUCCCGUCACAUUUGGGGUUUACAAUGACAUGUUACUAGGUUUCUAAGAGUUGGACAUGAUUGUUUUAUUUUGUUUCAGACUCAUUAAUGAGAAUACAUUUCAGUUUAUAUCUCCUUUACUCAUUCACCCCUACAUAUUUAACUGGACUUGCCCAGUCUUUGAUUUUGUAAGGUUCAAAUUUGCCUUAAGGGGUGAAUGGGUUAAUAAAAAAUAUUAUUAUUUAGUGUAUAUGUGUUUAUAAUAUCAGUAGGUUUCCAUUCUAUGUUUUGUUUACAAAAGUAACAUUCUCAGAGAGACAGGUACAAUUAGACUGACUCUAUAUUAAUUAUGAUAUUCUGAUUAUGAUUUUAAAUGUCAAUUAUUUACACAUGGUAGUGCCAGUUAGUCUAAAUUCAGACUAAAUUCUCAAGUGCUAAUUAUUGCUUUUGAUUUUUUUUUAUGAUUUCUUUAGAAUUUUUAAUUUAUUCAAAAAUAGCCAUCUAUGUUUGUUGUAAAAACUUUAGUAAUUUUUUCUUGUGUUAGAAAUCUGUUAUUGCCUGUUGGGGCUGGUAAUGAUGACAAACUUGAUAUUAAGAGAUGCAUCAGAAUGUUAUUGGUGUAUCUAGAUAAAUAUUUACAGAUUCAGGGCUGAUGAAAAGUGCUGUCUCGUGAUUUUAAAAAGGAAUCAGAAAAUUCCAUAAAAAUACGUUGAAAUGUAUAUAUUAAACAAAUGCAUGUGCAUUUGUACAAUUCAAAAGAAAACCUGAUAUUAAUUAAGUAUCUGGCAAACUGUUCAAUUACGCUUCUUAUAAGCAGUUUUGUCAAAAUUUUUGUUGAGUUAUUUUAGUGAUUUUGCGAUUUUAUGAUACUGUUUCCCAGCUUUUUACCAGGUUAUAUUUUUCAUAUUGUGGUUCAAUUAAGGAUCCCGGUACCACUGCCAAAAACCAAAUAUUGGAAACUGUCUGGUCCGGCAUAAUUAUAGCUUUGGUACAACUCGUCUGUAAAGAAAACCAUAUCUUGCAGAACUUUUACGAGAAAUAAUAGAGAUACACUUGGAUUAGAACUCUUGACUUGAGGUUAUUAUACUAUAUCUCUCUACCUGGUCAACGAAAUGUCCUGGUUCUACUGUGCUAAGUUUUAUCAAAAAGGAAGUUAAGGGGAGGUAACUGUAUAUAGAUAAAACCCACAGUGCAGUGGCACAGAGAUCCUUAACUCAUUCACCCCUGACAUUUCGCAAUGAACUAUUCCAACCUUUGAAUUGGAAGAGUUCAAAUGUGUCUUCAGGGGUGAAAGAGUUAAUUAAAGAUCCACUGAAAAAAAAUUGAAAACAUAUAUAUCAUGAGUAGAAGAUUGUCAGCGUUCUGUUUAAAUUGAUCAAACAACUGAAACUUAAUUAAAGAAAAAAAAAAAAUUCGUAUAUAAAAUAUGCCUGAUGCAGAAAGCUUGUAUAAUAUAUAGUUCUUGUCAUAUUUUAUUAAUGUGACAUGUAUGAUGAUGUGUUUAAUUUAUUCCUCAUUGUAACACUCAAUCAUUUCGUUUUAAGAUUUAUUAAUAUUUUUAAACAUAUAUUACAUAAUGUGCAUACUGAUAAAAUAGUAAACUCCUUUUCAAAGUUGUUUAUAAUUUGUUUUCUAAUUUUGGUUAUAUCUAGAAUUUAAUUCCGUUUUUAUUUUCCAACUUGAAAAUUGCUCAUAUCUUUCGUGUGAGAGAAUAUUUUGUUAAAUGAAAUAUGAUGUAUAUUGAGUAAAUGUUGAAAUGUGAUUGCCUGCAAUCUAAUUAAAAUCAUAUCUUCACAUCGCUCCCGUUUUCUGAUAUGUGUCGUUAUAUCAGAAAACGGGAGCGAUGUGAAGAUAUGAUUUUAAUUAGAUUGUGUUUGCCUGUUGAGCGCGUAGCACUGUGUACGAAUGAUUACACGGAGAGGGAUAUUGACUAGUAUAUGUAUUAUGACUGUGUAUGAAUUCUCGACAAAGAAGUAAAAUUGUCAAAAUCAGUUAUGUUCCUUUUGAAAUCAUGAAAUACGUUUGGGCAGUGCUGAUGUAAAAAAUAUGAACAACAUUGUACAGAUUUGUGACGAUACUAGUGUAAUAUAGAGGGUAUAUAUAUAUAUUUUAUCUAUGACUGUUGUAGUUAACAGUCUCAUAUAUAGUUAUAACAUGGUCAUUGUAUAUAUCAAUAUGCUUUUAUAAAUCAGUUGUCCUGCCAACUCAUGACAAUUUUACUUGAUUCCAUGUGAUUUUCAAGAUUGUUUCAAAUGUGAAAAUCAGCCGAGAAAACAAAAAGAUUUUUAUUUUAAUCUGUUUGUUUGUAAAUAUCAAUGAACGAGAGAAAUAGAUUUCUUUUAAAAUUUACAAGAGGGUUUAUUUCUACUUUUCCUUUUUACAUAAUUAUCACAUGAAAAAAAGUCUCAUUUGAAGUUCCGCUUUUAUUAGCUGGAUUCUGUUUUCUGAUGUAGGAAAGUUUAGACAGUUUGAGUUUUAACAAUUAAUCUUCAGGUUAAUACCAAUAGGCAUAGAAAACGGAUUUUUAAUUAGGAUUUUUCUCACCUCUAUACGGAGCACUGUAAGAGUGGGGUUUCACAUGUGAUAGAUACUGAAAUGAUAAUUUUUAAUGAUGUUCCUUUCAAGCUGUAUGGAUGAAAAGUAUUUAAGAAUCAUGUUACAAAAAGUAUUUCUCUUCAUUUUUUUUUACUAUGUGUUAGGAACAGUUUUUUAAUUACCUCUGAACUAUUCAAGCUUUCGUUUUCAGCCUAAUUUACCUAUAUCAGUGCCAGUGUCAAGUUACAGCCUACCAAGUUGGUAGAUUUAACGUAAUUCAAGGGAAGUCAGUUAUUGAUUUUGUUAUCUUGAUGCUGCUCAAUUUGCCAGAAGAGAAAAUGAACCUAUAGGCUAUGGUGCAUUUUCUCUCAUCUAUUAGCCUUUCAAAUGUUAGUUGUCCUGAACAACUUAAGUGUUUUUAACAAUAAGGUUUGGAAUGAAUGUUUCUGGUCUAAAGGUUUUACAGGAAACAAGUGGCCCUAACUUUGUGGGGGAGAGGAGGGGGGGAAGGAAGAAAGGAAAAGUCAUAAACAUAUAGAUGGAUUUAUCGUCAAAUUUAGAAAUUUCGGCAAAUUGAUACAGAGGAUGCUCUUUGAAUAAGUACUGCUGUUGUUAUUGCUAAGGUCAUAUGAAAUGCACUAUUGCUGACCUGAUCUUCAAUUGUCAGAAGUAUUUUAAAGGUCUUUUCUUAUUCAGAAAGUAUAUAAACAAGUAGGUGAUACAGGUCCCCUGAGGCCUGUUUUUCAGCUGAUAUGCUUUGGCUUUUUAGAAGAUGCUGCGUCAUCAAUCCUUAUCAAGUAGUAUGCGGGUAGUUUGGAUGAAACAUUAUUUAUGCAUUGUGUUGGUGUGGAAUAAGCCUAGGUUAAGUAGCUAUCGGUGUAUGCCAUCAAAGACUCGGGUACAUGUCUUAUUACAGCUUCAAAACUAAUUUUUGAGCGUCAAUAUAUAUGUAGUCAAUUACAUAAAUUAGCCUUGUAGAUUGUUCUUGUUUCAUAAAAUGCCACACGUUUCCUGUCUUUUCAUUUGUAGCUAAAAAAGAUUAAGUCUCCUGUUUUCCUUAUUAACAUGUAAGAAUAUUUUUUAUUCUUGGGUUUCACUUUUGAUUAGAAGCUAAGAUGAUCAACUAACACAGCUUCAAUGCACAGUAAACAUAAUUACAUCUUUGAAACUUGAUAUUAUUAUUUAGUUUCUUGCAUUUAUACGAUUCCAGAAAAAAACUGCCAUUUCUUUUUGUGGAGAUGAUCGUUGCUACUACGGGGCAGUGUCCUGUUGUUGGACAGAUGCUACCCAAAUUGGCACGCCACUUCAAAUUGGUACAAUGCCAGAAAUCGCUUCAAAACACACAUUCUUAAUGACAUUUGUACAAUAUGUUUCUAACGGUAUAACAAUAUUGGAAAUGUCACAUUGCAUGCAUGAAAAUAUCUCCUAGGCAAAUGCAUUUGAUUUCAGUACAGUUUUGAAAAAAAAAAAAAAAAAAAUCGUCAAAAUUUUCCAAUGGUUUGGAAACAACUGAAAUGUGAAUCUUUCCUUAGCACCGACAAACACGUAAUCAUCAAUUUUGACAUCAUUUCUAUUCCUUAUUAUACUCCCCCGCAAUGAAGUUAGGGGGGUUAUACUAGAAUCAGGUUGUCCGGCCGGCUGUCUGUCCUUCCUUCUGUGGAUGUAGUGUAGUACGGUGUACUCCUCCUAAACUGUUGUAUGGAUUUCAAUGGAAUUCGCUGAUAACAAUCCUUGCAGCUUGGAGAUAAAGGUAAAGUUCUUUUUUAUUGGGUUAUCUCCCCUUUUUACGAAGCUAUGGCCCUUGGUUCAUAAACCUUCUCUAGACCAUGAAAACGCAAGAACUGUUUACAUUUUUAUUCAAUUCCUUUCAAAUUUGUUAUGGUAGUACUAGAAGCAAUAAUGUUUACCAUAUAUAACUCUUUUUUGUUGUUGUCAGGAUUCGACUUUCCAAGUUUUGAACUUUUACCAAUACUGUACCAGAUACACUGUACAUACUCCUCCUAAAUUACGGGAUGGAUUUCAAUGAAAUGGAUGCAAUGUAGUACCGUGUUCUCCUCCUAAACUACUUGAUGGAUCUUAAGGAAAAUUACUGAUACCAAUUCAUACAGCUUGUUCGUUCUGACUCUUUUAAAAGGAGUUAUGGCAUUUUGUUGAAAAAAAACAUUUGUCUGCCUCCUAAACUACUGGGCCGAUUUCAAUGAAAGUUAACAGAUAUGGUAAUUACCCCCGAUGUCGUGCAUCUGGGAAGUAUCUUUUCUUUUCUUCAUUUUGACCCUUUUUAAGUAGUUAUGGCACUUUUAAAAAAAAUCUUUGUCAUGACAACUCAUCCUUAACUACUAGGAGGCGUUCAGUAAAGCUGGUUCAUCUAGGCUAACAAGAUUUGGUUUGUAAGUAUGUCAGUGACCUAUAUACUCCAAUAAGUGUACAAGCUCAGUCAAUAAAAAAAUCAUUACUUGUGGGAGAAUAUGGAUUGCUUUGCAAUGCUAUCCCUUAGUAUAGGAGCGGGGGUAUAAGUUAGCCUUUGGCUUACAGUUCUAGUUAAAAACGACGUUUUUGAUGAGUAUGUCUCAAUGUAAUAGGAAGUCUGUUUGUGUUGGUUGAUAGUUGGAAAUAAUCAGUUUAAGCUUGUUCAUCUACCUCAGGAAAAGUCCACACUGCAUUAAUCAGAAGUGUGGUCACGUAACGUGCUUUACCCAAAUAACACAAUCGACAACGACUUUGCAUGACAUGAUACAUAUUUUUCUAAGGUUUUUAUGAAUUCAAAAUUUUCCAUUAAUUGGGGACUAUCAUUAUUUGAGACUUUUGAUUAUCAUGCUAUUAUUCAUUUUGAACAGUAAUGAAAUUUUACUAAAAUAAAAUGAUCCACAAGGUGUAAAACACGGUAAUCAAAAGAUCAUAGAAUAUUGAAAUGUGUAUACUACAUUCGGAUGCUACGUUUUGACGUAUUUCCGUGUGAAAUGGUAAUCAUACAAUUUUGCAAAUACAUGUUUAAUAUAUAUCUAUAUCUAUAUAUAUAAAGCCUAAUAUGUCAUCAUAAUUGAUUGAUACAAUAUUAGUUUUAAUUCAGACCAUUUGUGUAAGCUAUUUUUGCAUAAGGAACACGAGUGUAACAAUUUGAAAAAUAACAAUAUUGCUUUUCAAACGAUAUUACAAUUUAAGCACGAUAUUUUGGUUUACCGUAUUAAAAAAUGCAUAGCAUGAAUUGGUUAAUAUUUAUUCUUAACAGAUCAAAAUAAAAUUCGAUACAUCAUUGAGUUUAAAUUGAUUUUAGUUCAGGAUAUGUAUUUUUAGCGUCGAGCGUUUUGAUUUGGGAAUAUAUUUUAUUGCAGACUGUUACGACUGAUAUUAUGUUGAUUUCUGCUGUGUGUGUCGGUGAUGGACGCACGAUGGAAUAUUACCUCUUUUGUAGACUAAAUUAAUUCCUUUACAGACGUUUUUUUCCUGUUAACUUACGUUUAUUUUACUGGAUGAGAACACCUGUAUGCAUGUUGAUUCGUUGACCGAGAGUUUUACAAUAUAAUAGUGCUAUGUACUGUAAAAUAGUAGUAUUUUGUAUUCAUCUGUAUUUGUUGAUCGUCAUUUUAGUUUUUUGAACACUUCAAGCUUUUAUUAUCAAAAAAACAUCCUAAGUGCUAUGACAUGUAAUGCCAUCUACGUGUUUACUAUUUUCCAGUGGUAUAAUGUUAUGUACACUUUUCAGUGUUGUCAGAAGCAUGUGUUAUUUCUCUGGGAAAUUCAUGUAUAUCAUUUAUCUAAGGACUAAAAUUGCCUUUUUUUCAUAAAUAACAACCUACAAUAGUAUGUUUAGUAUAAAAAAGUGUUUCGGUUUCAUAAAGCGGACGACCCCAUUUUAGAGUGGUGGUACGUAUGCUAAAAUAUCGAUCCUUCAAUAUUCUACAGUCAAUAUUUGCUAAAUUUCGUUAUUAACUCCAUGUAUAUAUACAAUUACAGUCAAUUUUCUUCUGUAAUAACUAACCCGGAAUAUGUAGGGAUUAGUUUUGUCCAAUGAAAGUUAAUUGUACAACGGACAAUACAUAAAUACAACCUUUAUCCAUCCAACAACAAUGCUUUCACUUAAAAUGACAUCGCUGUACUUGUAAAGUUUGAUUAUAAUUAUCAUUUGAACACAUUGAAUUAAAUUAUUGAUUUAAAACGUGUGGUAUGUCUUUUAAAGUUGGUUUGGUAUAUGUCUUGUCAUUGUUCGUUUUCCGACAUGGUUGUUGUCUAAACGCACAGUAAACAUAUACAUGCCUUCAUAGAAAAGCAAGCCAGAUCAGAUAUCGAUACAAUGUCGCCUAAUCCAUGUUUCACUUAUACAAUGUUAUUUUGUUACAUAAUAUACAAUGACGUAUUGUUAAUAUUAGCACCCUGAAUUGUUGUGCUUUGAAUAUGACAUAUGUAUAACAUGUUGCAUUAUUGAUAUCAUAUUGACAGUAUACCAUGUUUUGUUAUUGAUAUCAAAUUCAGACAAUGUUUUACUAUUGAUAUCAACUAAAUACAAUGUUGUAUUCGUGACAUCAAAUAUAGUAAACCUUGCUCGUUCUGAAGGAUUUGGACAAUUUAACCAGGAAUGUCUAUAGAUGAAGCACGCAAGAGACAUAAUUCACCUAUGGAAGUUUGCUAAAAGUGGCAUAGUACCCCACAAGAAAAAAUUAAGACUAAUGUCUUGGGCUAAUAAUUUUCGAGCUAAACCUUGAGGAAAUACAUCAAAAAUAAAUCAUUAAAAGGAAAUGUGAGUUUUCAUUAACUCAAUAUUAGCUAUCUUUCUUAGUGGACCGGUAAGGGCCAGAAUUCCAUUUAUUAGUGGACCGGUUAGGGCCAGGAGUCCAUGUUGGUAAGGCCAGAUGUAUAUGAAGUUUUGCCGGAUACAUAAAGAAGAUAUUAGCUAUAAGCGAGAAGGCAAAUCAAACGAGAAG